rnacentral:rRNA from 1 species
CCUACGGGAGGCAGCAGUGGGGAAUAUUGCACAAUGGGGGAAACCCUGAUGCAGCGACGCCGCGUGAGUGAAGAAGUAUUUCGGUAUGUAAAGCUCUAUCAGCAGGGAAGAAAAUGACGGUACCUGACUAAGAAGCCCCGGCUAACUACGUGCCAGCAGCCGCGGUAAUACGUAGGGGGCAAGCGUUAUCCGGAUUUACUGGGUGUAAAGGGAGCGUAGACGGCCAGACAAGUCAGAAGUGAAAGCCCAGGGCUCAACCCUGGGACUGCUUUUGAAACGGCCGGGCUGGAGUGUAGGAGAGGUAAGCGGAAUUCCUAGUGUAGCGGUGAAAUGCGUAGAUAUUAGGAGGAACACCAGUGGCGAAGGCGGCUUACUGGACUGUAACUGACGUUGAGGCUCGAAAGCGUGGGGAGCAAACAGGAUUAGAUACCCGGGUAGUC